UAUAGAUAUUACAUAAGUAUUGAAAUUGUAUACAAUUUCAUAAUUGAUAUUACCCAGUAGGGAUACUGUGAAACUGAUCUUAAAAGAUUUUAAAAUGACCGUCUUUCCUAUUUAACAGGAAUAUGAAUAAAUUAAUUAAAUGUUGAUUGGUUGUCUAUUAACCUGGUAUUCAAUAAUCUUUCCAUGUGUGGCAUACAAGGUGUUAUUAUAACGCAAUACACUAAUUUAUAAUUGUAUCAGUUGAAACAUUUUUUUAAACCGUUUAAUUUGAAGUUUGUUUUAAAUAAUGUUUCCAGGAUUUUGUACAUAAUUGUUUUAGUAAUUUUAAAAUAUUUGUAUAGUUUAGGUAUGUAAAUUGUGAUGAAAAGUCAAGAAAUAAUUAUGCACCGACUCAUUUAAUUUACUUUUGGCUAUACUCUGAUUUUUUUAUACCUACUAUAGAUUUAUUAUAAGUGAUGAGUUUGAUAUUUGAUAUUGGCAUUGUUAGAAAAAUAUGAUUACUU